AGAAAUUGAAUCAUGUCUCAAAUAGGUUACAUCAAACCCUAGAUUUAAUAACUUAGUUCAUGAUUGAAAAGAAGAACAUGAUAAAACACAAAUUAAAUUUCAUGAAGAAGAGAAAGAUAAGAAAAAACUCAGGUUGUUGCUCUAUUUCUCAAUCUUGUGGCUUGAUUCUCAGUUUUUCUUCUUCUUCUUCUCCAAAAUCGGUUCGAUCUUCUCUCAAUUAGUGUAUAUCCUUGC
rnacentral:lncRNA from 1 species